rnacentral:misc_RNA from 1 species
AUCUAUUUCCAUAUCAAGUAUGGAACUUCCUAAAUCAUUGACCGUGUGAUCCAUGUGCUCCAAACUUUCUUGAGGUGCCCCACGGAGAAGAAAGCUUUUAUCAAAACCACCACAAUGUGCAGAUGCCUCAGUAGCCAAGUGAUCACCUAAUAAGCCAUUAUCCUUCAGUUCAUUGUUUCUAUCCAUCCAGAUAGUUUGCUUAGGCAAGCCUUCUUCAUUAAAAUGGCAACGGGAGUUACAACGGUUAGUUUCGUUCAACUUCGCUUUCCUUGAAAGUGAAAUAGCAUUUCCAAUUUGAUGAACAAUGGGUGGAUCUCCAUUUGAGUAAUGGGCUGUGGCAGACUGUUCUUUAUGUUCAUCCAAUAUGAAAUCCCAGUUUCUUUUUAACUGUUCCUUUUGAGAAAAAUACAUUUGUCUAUA